GACGAACGCUGGCGGCGUGCUUAACACAUGCAAGUCGAACGGAAAGGCCCUGCGUUUGUGGGGUGCUCGAGUGGCGAACGGGUGAGUAACACGUGAGUAACCUGCCCUUGACUUUGGGAUAACUUCAGGAAACUGGGGCUAAUACCGGAUAGGAGCUCCUGCUGCAUGGUGGGGGUUGGAAAGUUUCGGCGGUUGGGGAUGGACUCGCGGCUUAUCAGCUUGUUGGUGGGGUAGUGGCUUACCAAGGCUUUGACGGGUAGCCGGCCUGAGAGGGUGACCGGCGACAAUGGGACUGAGAGACGGACCAGACUCCUACGGGGGGCAGCAGUGGCGAGUAUUGCACAAUGGGCGGAAGCCUGAUGCAGCAACGCCGCGUGCGGGAUGACGGCCUUCGGGUUGUAAACCGCUUUCGCCUGUGACGAAGCGUGAGUGACGGUAAUGGGUAAAGAAGCACCGGCUAACUACGUG
rnacentral:rRNA from 1 species